rnacentral:rRNA from 1 species
UACGGAGGGGGCGAGCGUUAUUCGGAAUUAUUGGGCGUAAAGGGCGCGUAGGCGGCUAGGUAAGUCAAAGGUGAAAUCCCUCGGCUCAACUGAGGAACUGCCUUUGAAACUGCCUAGCUUGAGGCCGGGAGGGGGUGGCGGAAUUCCCAGUGUAGCGGUGAAAUGCGUAGAUAUUGGGAGGAACACCAGUGGCGAAGGCGGCCACCUGGACCGGUUCUGACGCUGAGGCGCGAAAGCGUGGGUAGCAAACAGG